rnacentral:rRNA from 1 species
GACGAACGCUGGCGGUGUGCUUAACACAUGCAAGUCGAACGGUAAGGCCCUUUCGGGGGUACACGAGUGGCGAACGGGUGAGUAACACGUGAGUAACCUGCCCUCAUCUCUGGGAUAACAGUCGGAAACGGUUGCUAAUACUGGAUAUGAGCUUGCAAGGCAUCUUGUGGGUUGGAAAGAUUUUUUUUGGUUGGGGAUUGGCUCGCGGCCUAUCAGCUUGUUUGUGAGGUAGUGGCUUACCAAGGCUUCGACGGGUAGCCGGCCUGCGAGGGCGACCGGCCACACUGGGACUGAGAGACGGCCCAAACUACUGCGGGAGGCAGCAGUGGGGAAUAUUGCACCAUGGACGGAAGUCUGAUGCAGCAACGCCGCGUGAGGGAUGACGGCCUUCGGGUUGUAAACCGCUUUCAAUUGUGACGAAGCUUUUUUGUGACGGUAGCAUUAGAAGAAGCACCGGCUAACUACGUG